rnacentral:rRNA from 1 species
CAUGGGGGAACCCUGAUGCAGCGACGCCGCGUGGAGGAAGAAGGUCUUCCGAUUGUAAACUCCUGUUGUUGAGGAAGAUAAUGACGGUACUCAACAAGGAAGUGACGGCUAACUACGUGCCAGCAGCCGCGGUAAAACGUAGGUCACAAGCGUUGUCCGGAAUUACUGGGUGUAAAGGGAGCGCAGGCGGGANAACAAGUUGGAAGUGAAAUCCAUGGGCUCAACCCAUGAACUGCUUUCAAAACUGUUUUUCUUGAGUAGUGCAGAGGUAGGCGGAAUUCCCGGUGUAGCGGUGGAAUGCGUAGAUAUCGGGAGGAACACCAGUGGCGAAGGCGGCCUACUGGGCACCAACUGACGCUGAGGCUCGAAAGUGUGGGUAGCAAACAGGAUUAGAUACCCUGGUAGUCCAAGGGCGAAUUC